GAUAGAGGAUGCGGAUGAGAUGAGUAUCUCGCGAUUCAACGCCGGCAAGCGUUCGUGAGUGAAAGGUGAUUCCGCCGAAGCUUUCAAGCGGUUGCCGCCGCGGAAACGCUGGGGUUGCGUUUAACAGACGCCGCACUGUCAUAUGGUUAUAUGGAGAGCUAUCA
rnacentral:ncRNA from 1 species